AUACGGAGGAUCCGAGCGUUAUCCGGAUUUAUUGGGUUUAAAGGGAGCGUAGAUGGAUGUUUAAGUCAGUUGUGAAAGUUUGCGGCUCAACCGUAAAAUUGCAGUUGAUACUGGAUAUCUUGAGUGCAGUUGAGGCAGGCGGAAUUCGUGGUGUAGCGGUGAAAUGCUUAGAUAUCACGAAGAACUCCGAUUGCGAAGGCAGCCUGCUUAGCAGCAAAUGACAUUGAAGCUCUAAAGUAUGGGUAUCAAACAGGAUUAAAUACCCUGGUAGUCCACACGGUAAACGAUGAAUACUCGCUGUUUGCGAUAUACGGCAAGCGGCCAAGCGAAAGCGUUAAGUAUACCACCUGGGGAGUACGCCGGCAACGGUGAAACUCAAAUGAAUUGACGGGG
rnacentral:rRNA from 1 species